AUAUAUAUAUAUAUCUAUAGAGUCCGGCUACUAUGCUAUUAAUAGCACGAAACACUUGGUGCUACCAAGUUAUUCGCCGUUAGAUCUAUCAUUUUGAUCAUUUUCACCCGUUAGAUCAUACUAUUCAAUCAACCAUCCACUCAAUCCUAUGGGGCCCACGUCAUUCUAACCGCACAUCUCUUAAUCUAAUGGUGGAAAACUUAGUAGCACCAAAUGCUUCGUGCUAUCAAUAGUAUAUUAGCCUAGUUCUAUAUAUAUAUAUAUAUAUAUAUAUAUAUAAAAGAUAUC
rnacentral:lncRNA from 1 species